rnacentral:rRNA from 1 species
UGGGGAAUCUUGCACAAUGGGCGAAAGCCUGAUGCAGCGAUGCCGCGUGCGGGAAGAAGGCCCUAGGGUUGUAAACCGCUUUCAGGAGGGAAGAAAAUGACGGUACCUCCAGAAGAAGGUGCGGCCAACUACGUGCCAGCAGCCGCGGUAACACGUAGGCACCAAGCGUUAUCCGGAUUUAUUGGGCGUAAAGAGCUCGUAGGCGGUUCAGUCAGUCGGAUGUGAAAACUUGAGGCUUAACCUCAAGAGGUCAUUCGAUACUACUGUGACUAGAGUGCGGUAGGGGAGCGGGGAAUUCCUGGUGUAGCGGUGAAAUGCGCAGAUAUCAGGAGGAACACCAGUGGCGAAGGCGCCGCUCUGGGCCGUAACUGACGCUGAGGAGCGAAAGCAUGGGUAGCAAACA